rnacentral:rRNA from 1 species
CGACCGGCGCACGGGUGAGUAACACGUAUCCAACCUGCCGUCUACUCUUGGACAGCCUUCUGAAAGGAAGAUUAAUACAAGAUGGCAUCAUGAGUCCGCAUGUUCACAUGAUUAAAGGUAUUCCGGUAGACGAUGGGGAUGCGUUCCAUUAGGCAGUUGGCGGGGUAACGGCCCACCAAACCGACGAUGGAUAGGGGUUCUGAGAGGAAGGUCCCCCCACAUUGGAACUGAGACACGGUCCAAACUCCUACGGGAGGCAGCAUG